ensembl:snRNA U6 U6 spliceosomal RNA
GUGCUUGCUUUGGCACCACAAGUACCAAAAAUUGGAACGAUCCAGAGAUUAGCAUGGCCCCUGUGCAAGGAUGACAUGCAAAUCCAUGAAGAAUUUCAACUAAAA